rnacentral:rRNA from 1 species
GCAGGCCUAACACAUGCAAGUCGAGACGGUAACAGAAAGUAGCUUGCUACUUUGCUGACGAGCGGCGGACGGGUGGAGUGAAUGCUUGGGAACAUGGCCUUGAGGUGGGGGACAACAGUUGGAAACGAACUGCUAAUACCGCAUGAAUGUCUACGGACCAAAGGGGGCUUCGGCUCUCGCCUUUAGAUUGGCCCAAGUGGGAUUAGCUAGUUGGUGAGGUAAUGGCUCACCAAGGCAACGAUCCCUAGCUGGUUUGAGAGGAUGAUCAGCCACACUGGGACUGAGACACGGCCCAGACUCCUACGGGAGGCAGCAGUGGGGAAUAUGGCACAAUGGGCGCAAGCCUGAUGCAGCCAUGCCGCGUGUGUGAAGAAGGCCUUCGGGUUGUAAAGCACUUUCAGUCAGGAGGAAAGGUUAGUAGUUAAUACCUGCUAGCUGUGACGUUACUGACAGAAGAAGCACCGGCUAACUCCGUGCCAGCAGCCGCGGUAAUACGGAGGGUGCGAGCGUUAAUCGGAAUCACUGGGCGUAAAGCGUACGCAGGCGGUUUGUUAAGCGAGAUGUGAAAGCCCCGGGCUCAACCUGGGAACUGCAUUUCGAACUGGCAAACUAGAGUGUGAUAGAGGGUGGUAGAAUUUCAGGUGUAGCGGUGAAAUGCGUAGAGAUCUGAAGGAAUACCGAUGGCGAAGGCAGCCACCCUGGGUCAACACUGACGCUCAUGUACGAAAGCGUGGGGAGCAAACAGGAUUAGAUACCCUNGUAGUUCACGCCGUAAUCGAUGNCUACUAGAAGCCUCGAGCCCUCGGCUCUGUUUUUCAAAGCUACGCAUUUAAGUGAACGCCGUGGGAGGAU